rnacentral:rRNA from 1 species
GUAGAAAUACCUGCGGGGUACGGACUGCUUUUAGGACUUAAACUGUUAGCCGAACGGCAUGGGAAGGCCGGUCAGAGAGUGUGAGAACCACGUAGGCGAAAACGGUGAGAGCUGCGCAGAAUCCAGAGUACGGCCGGACACGUGAAACCCGGUCGGAAUACGGGGGGACCACCCUCCAACCCUAAAUACUACCCAGUGACCGAUAGCGUAUAGUACUGUGAAGGAAAGGUGAAAAGAACCCCGGGAGGGGAGUGAAAGAGAACCUGAAACCCUGUGCCUACAAGCACCUAGAGCACGUCAAAGUGUGAUAGGGUACUUUUUGUAGAACGGUCCGGCGAGCGAUUGUACGUAGCAAGGUUAAGGUCUUAAGGACUGGAGCCGAAGCGAAAGCAAGUUUGAAAAGGGCGAUAAGUUACGUGCAAUGGGCCCGAAACCGGGUGACCUACCCAUGAUCAGGCUGAAGUGGAAGUAAAAUUCCAUGGAGGGCCGAACCGACCUCCGUUGAAAAGGCGGCGGAUGAAUUGUGGGUAGCGGAGAAAUUCCAAUCGAACUCGGAGAUAGCUGGUUCUCCCCGAAAUAGUUUUAGGACUAGCCUCAUUUUAGAUACCUGGAGGUAAAGCACUGAAUAGCCUAGCGGCCGAGAGGUUAGCGAAGCUUAUCAAACUCAGAAUGCCAGAGUAUUGAUGAAUGGGAGUCAGACAGUGUCAGAUAAAUGUCAUUGUCAAAAGGGAAACAGCCCAGAUCUACAGCUAAGGUCCCAAAGUCAGGUCAAGUGGAAAACGAUGUGAAGAUACGCAGACAACCAGGAUGUUGGCUCAGAAGCAGCCACUCAUUUAAAGAGUGCGUAAUAGCUCACUGGUCGAGCGUCUUUGCGCGGAGAAUUUAACGGGGCUAAACCUGACACCGAAGCUUAGGCAACAUCGCAAGAUGUUGGGUAGGGGAGCGUUGUAUGAGCGGCGAAACGGUAGCGUGAGCGGCCGUGGAGUUCAUAGAAGUGAGAAUGCCGGAAUGAGUAGCGCGAAUGCAGUGAGAAUCUGCAUGGCCGAAAGCCUCAGGUUUUUGGAGGAAGGUUCGUCCGCUCCAAGUUAGUCGGG